CACUGUGCCACGGGACCCUGGUCUUUGAAACCUUGGCGUGCGCGAGAAUUUCCCAGUGAGUUUGUUAAAAUGCAGAUUCCUCGGGUCUGCGUAGACAGACUGUGCCCCACGCUUUUCUAAGUCAGUUGUUUCUCGGGCUACCCUUUAAGAGACACUGCUGGAUGGCCUGGUGAAGAAAAUACAGAAACAGAUGGGUACAAGAACUAAGAAAACGGCUAAGAAAGUGUUUUGGUCCUGACUACUACCAUUUCGCUCUGUGAUUUGGGGCAAUUCACAUUGCCCUUUCUUCUUUGUCAAAAGACAAAAUCACAACAAACUUAGUUCAAAGAUUUUUUUUUUCUUAAGAGACGGACUCUGGCAAUGUUGCCCAGGCUGGAAGGCAGUGGCUAUUCACAGGUGCGGUCAUAGCAAUCAUGGCUAUCACAGGUGCAUCCUGGAACUCCUGGCCUCAAGUGAUCCUUCUGCCUCAGCCUCCGGAGUAGCUGGGACUUAAGGUAUGACAGAGCCAAAACUCCAAGUCAUGUCAGUAGGGCAUGCCCAAUAGAAAAUGCUUUGACAUCUAACAACACCCAGAACCAAUGAUUCCUCCCUGUGGUACCAAGAAGACCUAGACAUGAUCGGAACCUAAAUGCUGGAACUCUUUCAGGAGCAAAGGGUCUGUUGACCAGAAAGAUCCAGGGGUAAAAUCCACCUCAACAUACCCGUGUAGUCAAAUUUGACACCCUCCAAUCAGACCCUGCCAAGCCAAAAUUCCUAAUACGUUUCCUUGCCAUCUGUAUUAGUCUGUUUUCACGCUGCUGACAAAGACAU
rnacentral:lncRNA from 1 species